rnacentral:lncRNA from 1 species
AAACUGUGAAUGUAUACGCAUAGAGUGAAGGAAACAAAAAAAUUCAUAGUACAAGAACAACAAUUGCGUCUGGUGCAUAAGCCUGCAAAUGUAUGUGUGUUGUGAAGGAAAUAGGAAAAAAAAUACAAGAACAAUUUGGCAACAUACCACGAAAGUAAUGUUGAGGCUGAACAGAAACAAUGCGCUGCAUAAAUUCACCGACACGACAAAUAUGCAUAUUACACAGCCCUCUUCACUUGUGAUGAAUUUUGAGGACAGCUUCAACCAAUAAGUAAGCAGCGGAAUAACACAAACAACAUGCACAUGUGACACGGGAUUUAACGUGGAAAAACUUUCUCAACUUGAGGACUAAAAAACCACGGCUGUGGACUGACCGGUCCACGCAACUUCAAUAUGAGAAUGAUGAGUACAAAGUCUUCUUUAGAAUCUCUAGAGAGAUUUAUAACACACUCUCCACGUUGCCAACCGGCAACAGCAACAACAACCACAAGAAGCAAGAUUUCAGCAAAGCAGAGUUUACACAGCUUUUGUACCCUUUAGUGUUUUGCAAACUGCUCUUAAACCGCUGAACCAAACAGCACCAAAUUUGGCAGACAAGUAGACACAUCAGUUCUUGACAUCCCCUCCAAAUUUCAGCUCAAUCGGACAUCAUUUGCCUACCCAAACUGUUUGUCUCCCAAAACUACUCUGUUUUAAAACUGCAGCAGUCAAAGCUGACAAAAUCACUCUCAAAUCUAAUGCUCCACUGAUUCAAUCCUCAAACCAGCUAACCAGAUUGAAGUACGCAAAGUAAAGAACGGGCUCACCAAGUUUGGGGUCGAUCCAAGGCUCCAAGCACAUUUGAGCCUCCAACCACCAGCUUGAACACUGUCUAGUCAGAUGCAGCAAAUCUGAAUAGAACCUCUGCUUCUUCUUCUUCCUCUCUCUCAGGUUGUGUUUUCUCUUAUGUGCUCUCACUCUUACUCUCACGAAUGGCAGCCGCCACCAGCAGGGGUGGAAUGGCGAGGGUUUUCUCCUUGCUCCCUUCACCAGGAAAUACUCACAACCGUUGGAUGCAGAACAGAUCAACGGUUCAUAUGUGUUGGACUUGUGUGGGCUGAUGUUAGGCUGCCAACACGCCUCCAUGUGAAGGGACUUAGACCAACAAACUUCCCCUCCCGACAUCAUGGAGGGUCUCACCGCUUUCCGGCAGCCAUGCCAGCGAGCUGGCAGCAUACUUCAAGCUUCUUCCUUGUCACCACUUUAGUCAGCAUAUCAGCCUCAUUGUCAUCAGUGUGAACCUUCUCAAGUUGCAUUUGCUUGGAAUACAACACAUCUCGAAUCCAAUGAUAACGGACUUCUAUAUGCUUAGACCUUGAAUGAAAACUUGCAUUUUUACUCAAAUGGAUAGCACUUUGGUUGUCACAAAACAACACAUAGUUGUCUUGCUUAAAACCAAGCUCACAAGCCAACCAUUUCAGCCACAAUAGUUCUUUGCUCGCCUCUGUUACAGCAAUGAAUUCAGCUUCAUUUGUAUUCAGUGCCACACACUUUUGCAGCCUACUUUGCCAUGACACCGCUCCCCUGCAUAGGUAACCAAGUAACUUGAAGUAGACUUCCUUCUGUCAACAUCUCCAACCAUGUCAGAAUCUAAAAAAGCAAUCAGCUUGGCUUCACCACCACCAAAACAAAGUUUCAGAUUUGUGUUGCCCCGGAGAUAUCUCAAAAUCCACUUCACGGCUUCCUAAUGAGGUCUUUCUGGAUUGGACAUAAAUCUGCUCACAGUACUAAUUGCAUGAGCAAUAUCAGGCCUUGUACAUACCAUAGCAUACAUCAAACUCCCUACCGCCGAAGCAUAAGGAACAUUAUGCAUUUCCUUUUUCUUCUCAUCAGUGGUAGGACAUUGCUUUCUGCUCAACUUGAAAUGGACUGCUAGUGGACAACUCACAACUUUAGCAUUUUCCAUCCUAAACUUCUGAAGUACCUUCUCAAUAUACUUUUCUUGAGACAAGUACAACUUGUUGCAAUUUCUGUCUCGCUCAAUUCUCAUCUCGAGAAUGUUCUUUGCUGGACCUAAGUCUUUCAUAGAAAAACAUUUGCUCAACUCCUUCAACUUAGCAAUCCUAGAGGCAUUCUUGCCAACAAUCAGGAUAUCAUCAACAUAGAACAAUAAUAUGAUGAAAUCAUCACCUGAGAACCUCUGAAUAAACACACAAUGGUCUGAGCUACACUUCUUGUAUCUUUGCUCCCCCAUGACAGCUUCAAACUUCAUGUACCAUUGUCUUGGUGCUUGUUUCAGGCCAUAGAGACUUUUCUUCAGCUUGCACACAUAGUCUUCUUUGCCUUUCACAAGAAACCCCUCAGGUUGCUCCAUGUAUAUUUCUUCCUCCAACUCACCAUGAAGAAAUGCAGUCGUCACAUCCUUUUGCUCAACCUCCAAGUUGAGACUUGUUGCCAUGCCAAGGAUUACUCUUAUGGAUGUUAUCUUCACAAUCGGAGAAAAUAUCUCAUCAUAGUCAAUGCCUUUUCUCUGGUUGAAUCCUUUUACAACUAGCCUGUCCUUGUACCUUGGAUGUGAUGUGUGCUCUUCUUGCUUGAUUCUGUAGACCCACUUGUUCUUCAAAAUUUUCUUGCCCUUGAGCAACGUCACCAACUCAUAAGUAUGAUUCUUAUGCAAGGAAUCCAUCUCUUCGUGCAUAGCAUUUUUCCACUCCUUCUUGUGCUCAUCUUCCAUUGCAUCUGCAAAGCAUUCAGGUUCUGAACCAUCAGAUAAUAACACCACGUAUUGAUCUGAGGGAUACCUGCUGGAAGGAAUUCGACCCCUGUUGGAUCUUCUGAGUGGAGCAGCUGGUGGACUUUCUGGUGCCGGUGCUUCCUGCUGAUCCGGAUCAUCAACUUCAGCGCUAUACUCUUGUUGCUGCUGCUGGGGAGCAUCUUCUUCACCUGCACCAUCAUGUACAUCAUCUUGUACAUUUUCUGCAUCUGCUUCAACUUGCACGGGAGCUGGAGCUGCAGGAACUGGGUCAGAAUCAAUCAUGUCUUGCUGCUGCUGAGGAGGAACCUGCCCCUUUGUCUUCACAAUAUCCUCAAUUGUUUGGUCUUGAACAAACACAACAUCACGGCUUCUUAUAACUUUCCUUGCUAUAGGGUCAAACAGCUUGUAGCCAAACUCAUCACCACCAUAGCCAAGAAAGAUAUCACCACCAUACCAAAAAAAAUACACUGCCGUGUCUUCGAAUCAAGCAUUGACCUUUCAUCUUGAGGAAUAUGAACAAAGGCCUUGCACCCAAAAACUUUCAGGUGGUCAUAUGAUACGUCCUUGUCACACCAGACCCUGUUAGGAACAUCUCCCUGCAAAGGAUAACUUGGUGAGUGAUUAAUAAGAUAAACUGCAGUCAUCAAAGCCUCACCCCAAAAGUGUUUACGUAGCUUUGCACUUGAUAAUAAGCAUCCAACUCUCUCCACAAUUGUCCUGUUCAUCCUCUCAGCAAAGACCGUUCAGCUGUGGUGUCUUCGAGGGAGUAAAUUGAUGUCUAAUACCUUGCUGCUUGCAAUAUGCAUCAAAUGGCCAAAUAUACUCUCCUCCAUUAUCAGUGCGAAUGCACUUGAUCUUCUUCUCAGUUUCUCUCUCGACCGAGGCUUGGAAUUGCUUAAAUACACCUAGUACUUGAUCUUUGGUCCUCAAAGUGAAGGCCCAAACUUUCCUGGAAAAGUCAUCAAUAAAAGUCACAAAGUACUUAGCACCACCAAGAGAUCUUACCGGCAUUUUGCAAACAUCGGAAUGUAUCAAGUCCAGCUUCUCGGGCUUCUUGUGAGGAGGUAGAGUCUUGAAGGCAACUCGGUGUUGCUUCCCUGCUAGACAAUCUGAACAUUUCUUGAUGUGAACUCUUUUCACACCCUUCAACAAUUUUUUCUUCACUAGCACUGUCAUCCCCUUCUCACUCAUGUGCCCAAGUCUCUUGUGCCAUAAAGCACAAUGAUCAUCCUUCUCUAGUGCGUUGACAGAAGCACUAAAGAGCUUAGCAUGAACAUGAUACAACACUGAGACCAUUUUACCUCUUGCAACAAUCAUGUUGCCUUUAGUGAGCUUGUACUGCCCUUUUCCAAAACUGCUCAAGUAAUCAUCUCCAUCAAGCAAACCAACUGAAAUAAUAUUGAGACGAAGUGCCUCAACAUGCCUCACAGAUUUGACGACUAACCUUAUACCAUUUGCGGUCUCCAAAUACACAUCUCCUUUUCCAAUGAUAGCUGCUCUAUUAUUGUUCCCCAUCUUCACAACACCAAAAUCACCUGUUAUAUAGUUAGUGAAGAGCUCUCUGCGAGAUGUAGCAUGAAUGGUAGCAUCGCUGUCCGAUAUCCAAAUCAUCUCGUCACCAUCCACAAGGUUGAUGGUUUCAUCAGAAACAACAGUGAUCUUCUCCUCAACAGUGGAACCAAAUCUGCCCUCAUUUUCUUCAUGCAUAACAAGCAUGAUGUCCUCUUCUACUACGGUAACUCGGUUGCCCUCUAUGUCACUAUCACUGUCAACUUGCUUCUGAUCUUGCUUCUUCUUUUUCUUUUUGUCUUUCUUCCAUUUUUCACAUUGCCACUUAAUGUGGCCCUUCUGAUGGCAGUGAUGGCACUCAUAAUCAACAUACUUACCUUUUGAUUUGCUCCUACCUCUUUCUGCCCCUUUACCUGGACCUCUGCUCUUACUUCUCCCCCUGGACUGAGUGACCAACACCUCUGAAUGUGAGAAGAACUAGGUUCAGCCACCUUUCUGGACUCUUCAUUUAGUAUCUUGGUUUUCACAAGAUUCCAAAUGACAACUCCAUUAGGUGCUGAACUGCAAACCGUGACCUUAAAGGCCUCCCGGCUGUCCGAUAAUGAGCCUAGUAGAAGCAAAGCUCUCACUUCAUCUUCAAAUGUUAUUUCCAUUGAAGAAAACUGAUUUAUAAUGCCUUGAAAUGUAUUCACAUGAUCUGCAAUUAGAAUGUCCUCUUUGUACCUCAAGCACAUCAAUUGUUUGAUCAAGAACAUCUUGUUUGUACCUUCUUUUCGGGCAAACAGCUCUUCUAAUUUCUGCCAUAAGGUGUGUGCAUGUGUCUCACCAAUGAUAUGGUUCAAAACAUUGUCAUCAACCCAUUGCCGAAUAAACCCACAAGCUUGACGAUGAAGUACCUUCCACUGACCUUCCUCAAUGCCCUCCGGCAUCUCAGUGGAGAACACUGUCUUCCAGUAUUCUUUCACAUACAACAAGUCCUCCAUCUUGCCCUUCCAUACUUGAUAAUUUGUACCAUUCAAAGAUAUCAUCUUGCUGGUAUUCACUUCCAUCUUUCACCACAAGAAACUCAGCAAUUUGCACAAGCAAACCAAGGCUCUGAUACCACUUUGUUGAGGCUGGACAGCAACAAUGCGCUGCACAAAUUCACCGACACGGCAAAUAUGCACACUACACAGCCCCCUCCACUUGUGAUGAAAUUUGAGGACAGCUUCAACCAACAAGUAAGCAGCGAAAUAACACAAACAAUAUGCACAUGUGACACAGGAUCUAACGUGGAAAAAUCUCCUCAACUUGAGGAGUAAAAAACCACGGCUGUGGACCGACCGGUCCACGCAACUUCACUAUGAGAAUGAUGAGUACAAAGUCUUCUCUAGAACCUCUAGAGAGGUUUACAACACACUCUCCACGUUGCCAACCGGCAAUAGCAACAACAACCACAAGAAGCAAGAUUUCAGCAAACCAGAGUUUACACAGCUUAUAUACCCUUCAGUGUUUUGCAAACUGCUCUUAAACCGCUAAACCAAACAGCACCAAAUUUGGCAGACAAGUAGACACAUCAGUUCUUGACAUCCCCUUCAAAUUUCAGCUCAAUCGGACAUCAUUUGCCUACCCAAACUGUUCGUCUCCCAAAACUACUCUGUUCUGAAACUGUAGCAGUCAAAGCUGACAAAACUACUCUCCAAUCUGAUGCUCCACUGACCCAAUUCUCAAACCAGCUAACCAAAUCGAAGUACGCAAAGUAAGGAACGGGCUCACCAAGUUUGGGGUCGAUCCAAGCACAUUUGAGCCUCCAACCACCAGCUUGAACACUGUCUAGUCAGAUGCAGCAAAUCUGAACAGAACCUCUGCUUCUUCUUCUUCCUCUCUCUCAGGUUGUGUUUUCUCUUGUGUGCUCUCACUCUCAGUCUCACAAAUGGCAGCCACCACCAGCAGGGGUGGAGUGGCUAGGGUUUUCUCCUUGCUCCCUUCACCAAGAAAUACUCACAACCAUUGAAUGCAGAACAGAUCAACGGUUCAUAUGUGUUGGACUUGUGUGGGCUGAUGUUGUGCUGCCAACACGCCUCCAUGUGAAGGGAAUUAGCCCAACAAGUAAGUGUUAACGGGAGCAUGCAGGCAGGCAAGACCUCUUAUACAAGGGCGAUGUAUGCAUUACAUAAACUAAUAGCAUGAGAAUUCAGGGCAUGACUAGAGAGUUGGUGAGCAUCAAGUUAUAAAUAACUUUUCAUAUUGGCAGCCACAAUAUCAACGAAAUGGCAGUGUUGUUGACCUUUCGCCCCAAAGCAGUAAUUUAGUUUAGUUGGGCAAUAUACAUGGAUUAAGUUUUGUCCAAUACCUGCUUCCUCUUUCGAUUUGAAGCCUGCAUGGUUUCAUCAGCUAACAUAGUUUUGUCAUGUAGUCAUGCACCAAUGGAACAUUCUAACAUGAAAAUGUAAUUUUGGAGCAAAGGAAAAUAAAGCAGGACAGUGGACGCACCGGAGCAUCAUCUAUGGAUAACCGUAGGGUAUUGCCGCUCUCCUCCUUCCCUGGGCUUAGUCUGCGCAAGCGCCAGACAUCAAACCCGACAUUUUUUCAAAGUUGCAAUAGAUGUCCCACCAUGGAUUCUCCACCAUCGGCGCGUUGAACGACACGCUGAAAUCCAAGCUCAUCCAGGUCCACACCUCGAACUUCCUAAGCACAGGUGCCAUGAUGUCGAUGCCACACACAUCAUAGGGGUAGUCCACGACAAGCUCCUCGAUCGUCGGUGAGUGGACUCUGAUCUUACCGAGAC